CUUUGGGAAAGGGCUGUUCCCAUCUUUGUUUACACUAUAAACUUUGUUUAAACUAUAUAAAACUAUAAACUUUGUUUAAACUAUAAACUAAGUUUCUCCCAAGGUUAGUUCAGCCUAAGCCUAGGAAUGAACAAGAACAGCUUGGAGGUUAGAAGCAAGAUAGAGUCGAUUAAGUUAGGUCUCAGUCAUAAUUUUGCAAAGGCUGUUUCACGAUUAUUACUAUUAUUGGUUAUGAGCCACCCCUAAAACGGCAUGACCUUCAUGGGAAAGAUUUUCUGCACUGGCAACAAUGCGGCCGAGAUUUGAGGGCUGUGUUCCGGUCAUUUGUGACCCCCUGUCACCAUGGUGUUUUAAAUAGUUGGUCUCAUUUGCUCUUCAUAUCAACCCUACGAAGCAGUGACCUUAUUUUCCUCUUCGACAGGUGAACAAACAGACGCAUAAUAGCUCUUGAGCUUGCCAUUGGGAAGUGAAAAUCAACUGCUUGAAUAAAUGUAAGGACUCAGGUAGACAUCACCUUGUGACUCAACAGCAGCCAAUAAGAUGGAAAUAAAGGCCAUGAAGUUAUCGGAUGGCAUCUACAAGGAAUACUUAGAUGAGGAGGUGACUCUGGUAGCAAUUGUUCUUUUGUCUUUCUCACCUUCCUUCUUGUCCUGUCUGGGAUGCUGAAGUGAUGGCUGGUAUACAGAUGCCCUGUUGUGAUGUUGAGAUAAACAUGAGAAUAAAAGUCGGCGAUUACAGAUGGCAGAGAAGAGAGAGAAAGAUAGGAUGUAGGUGGAUAUUGACGGAACUAAGUUUCUAUUGCACAAGUUCUACCACCAACCUCUGGACUUCAUGAUAUGUGAGGGAGAAAUAAACUCCUAUUUUAGAAGAGAUCUAUGUUACCUGCAACUGAACGGAAUGCUUAAUUGGCACAUCCUAUGUGCUCCAAACCUUCCUUAAUUUCUGUGUGUAAGGCAUACUUAGUCUUUACCCAUUAUUCUGUUCACAUUCAUUCACUUGAUCAGCCUCCCAACUCUAUGGUAAAGAGUUUACUACAGUUUACUCUAUUAGUAAGGGAGAUUCUGGAGCAAGCCCCACAAAUCAUAGAUUGAAUACCCAUUCAUUAAGAGAGAGAUUUAAAGAUACUUCUAUCCAAACACAUUUUAAAUUUCCAGCACCUUUGAGGUGGUGGAGGUUCAUGGUGGUUGAUAGGGUUUAAAUGACUUGUGAUUCAAGCUCCAUAUUACAAUGUAACAGUGCAAAAGUUCAUUUUUUUAAAUUUAUUUUACUUUAAGUUCUGGUAUACAUGUGUAGAACAUGCGGGUUUGUUACAUAGGUAUACAUGUGCCAUGGUGGUUUGCUGCACCUAUCAAACCGUCACCUAGGUUUUAAGAACCACAUGCAUUAGGUAUUUGACCUAAUGCUCUCCCUCAUGUUGCCCCCCAACUCCCUGACAGGGCCCAGUGUGUGAUGUUCCCCUCCCUGUGUCCAUGUGUUCUCAUUGUUCAACUCCCACUUAUGAGUGAGAACAUGUGGUGUUUGAUUUUCUGUUCCUGUGUUAGUUUGCUGAGAAUGAUGGCUUCCAGCUUCAUCCAUGUCCCUGCAAAGGACACGAACUCAUUCUUUUUUAUGGCUUCAUAAUAUUCCAUGAGUCUGGAUUUGGUUACAGAUAGAGCUGGACAAGCCUUAGCUAUAUCUAAUGGCUUUUGACAUGUUAUAUCAAUUUCUUACUGCUUUUGUAAAUGAAUAUAUUAAGAAGAAAAAAUUACAAAUGACCCUUUCUUCACAAACUUUUAGGGUAAUCAAGUUCAGUUAUUAAAAAAUGGAUGUUUGCAACAUUCAUAGUAAUUAUUUUCAGAAAAUUAAAAAUGAUUAAAAAUUAUAUUUUCAUCCCAUUCAGAUAUUAUAUAUUUAACUGUGAGAUAAUUCUCAGAGAUAAAUGUCAACUUUUAAAAAAUGCUAAAUAAAUUAAAUCAAAAUAUCCCCUCUAAAAUAAAUAAAUUAGCUCCGAUUAUUUCUUCUUUUUAAAUUUUUCCUUAUAGUUGUAAAAAUAAAGUGAACGUUUU
rnacentral:lncRNA from 1 species